GACAGAGGGUGCAAACGUUGUUCGGAAUUACUGGGCGUAAAGCGCGUGUAGGCGGCUUCGCAAGUCGGAUGUGAAAUCCCACGGCUCAACCGUGGAAGUGCAUUCGAAACUGCUUCGCUUGAAUCUCGGAGGGGGUCAGAGAAUUCCCGGUGUAGAGGUGAAAUUCGUAGAUAUGGGGAGGAACACCGGUGGCGAAGGCGGCCACCUGGACGGUCACUGACGCUGAGACGCGAAAGCGUGGGUAGCAAACAGG
rnacentral:rRNA from 1 species